UACGUAGGGUCCGAGCGUUGUCCGGAAUUACUGGGCGUGAAGAGCUCGUAGGUGGUUUGUCGCGUUGUCCGUGAAAACUCACAGCUUAACUGUGGGCGUGCGGGCGAUACGGGCAGACUGGAGUACUGCAGGGGAGACUGGAAUUCCUGGUGUAGCGGUGGAAUGCGCAGAUAUCAGGAGGAACACCGGUGGCGAAGGCGGGUCUCUGGGCAGUAACUGACGCUGAGGAGCGAAAGCGUGGGGAGCAAACAGG
rnacentral:rRNA from 1 species